CCUGAUCCUGGUGUUUGGGAAAAUACACCCGAAGCACAGGAGGGGAGGGGAUCUUGGUGUAGGAAUGUGAGUACCAGGCACAAGAUCAUCUGGACUAAAGAAGAUUCCCGGUCUCCCUUCAAGCUAGGUGUGUUUGUGUGCUGGAAAAUGGCAUCCAGAGGAGGAUUAUCUGCCCUGAAAGAAACAACUUGGUGAUCACAGAAAAAUCAAUCAGUGCAUUCUCUGGAGAUUACAAUAUGCAUCCUUAAUUUAUCACAGUAUAUUUCAAGUUAACAUUGUGUCACUCCAUGUAAAGUGAAAUAAUCGUACAACAUUUAAACCCCACACCCUCUAAUUUUAAAGCUAUCCAUUUAUGCACGUAUUAGCAGCUAUUCUGUGCCAGAUGCUGUGCAUUCAGCUGGAGACACCUCAGAUUCCAUGCUCUUAUAGAGCUCCUGUUCUAGUGCAGAAAUGUAGGCGAUGGGCUAACAACAGCUAGUCUGCAGUACUUGAGAAUUACGGUGUGGUGAGGAGCGAACUGGAUAACAGAUAUGAGGCCUUGGAGUAGUUUAUGUGUGGAAAACAUAAAUGCUCAAGAAACGGCAGUUUCAUCCCACCAAAUUCUAUUCCCUAUGGAAAAUAUAUAAUAUUUAGAUAAGUUUCUAGGUUGCAGAAAUCUUUCCAGGAGCUUCUAAAGAAGCUGAAGAAGGACUCAGGUUUGGGAACAAUGGAGAGAGAGCACUUGGAACAUUGCUAAACUGAGAAAAUGAAGGAAAUGGGGACACAGAAUGGUUAAGUGACAUGCUUAGGGUCCCACAAGUAGUGGAUGGAAGAGCUGGGAUAUAAAACCAAUGCCCAAACUUACUUAUCCUGAACUGUCGCUCCUUUGACUUGAAUAUUGAUCCCUGGAUUGGACACCUGGACACGGACUCCUCUUCAUCUACUUGUAACAUGGCCCUUCAUACUACCACCUAGUCCUACCUAAUGUUUCAUAGUGACUUUUUUUUCCUUUGCUCUCACAGUGUUGACAACUACAUGUGUCUUUUCCAUACAAAUUGGUUUUUGUCUGUGACUUGGCCUGCUA
rnacentral:lncRNA from 1 species